CGCCAGACUCCUACGGGAGGCAGCAGUAGGGAAUAUUGCACAAUGGGGGAAACCCUGAUGCAGCAACGCCGCGUGAGUGAGGAAGUAUUUCGGUAUGUAAAGCUCUAUCAGCAGGGAAUAGAAAAGAAGGUACCUGAAAAAGAAGCCCCGGCUAACUACGUGCCAGCAGCCGCGGUAAUACGUAGGGGGCAAGCGUUAUCCGGAUUUACUGGGUGUAAAGGGAGCGCAGACGGCAGUGCAAGUCUGGAGUGAAAGCCCGGGGCCCAACCCCGGAACUGCUCUGGAAACUGUGCGGCUAGAGUACUGGAGGGGCAGGCGGAAUUCCUAGUGUAGCGGUGAAAUGCGUAGAUAUUAGGAGGAACACCAGUGGCGAAGGCGGCCUGCUGGACAGUAACUGACGUUGAGGCUCGAAAGCGUGGGGAGCAAACAGGAUUAGAUACCCUGGUACU
rnacentral:rRNA from 1 species